rnacentral:rRNA from 1 species
CAUGCAAGCCGAGCGGUAGAAGUCCUUCGGGACUUUGAGAGCGGCGCACGGGUGCGUAACACGUGUGCAACCUACCUUUAUCUGGGGGAUAGCCUUUCGAAAGGAAGAUUAAUACCCCAUAAUAUAUUGAAUGGCAUCAUUUAAUAUUGAAAACUCCGGUGGAUAGAGAUGGGCACGCGCAAGAUUAGAUAGUUGGUGAGGUAACGGCUCACCAAGUCAAUGAUCUUUAGGGGGCCUGAGAGGGUGAUCCCCCACACUGGUACUGAGACACGGACCAGACUCCUACGGGAGGCAGCAGUGAGGAAUAUUGGACAAUGGGUGAGAGCCUGAUCCAGCCAUCCCGCGUGAAGGACUAAGGCCCUAUGGGUUGUAAACUUCUUUUGUAUAGGGAUAAACCUUUCCACGUGUGGAAAGCUGAAGGUACUAUACGAAUAAGCACCGGCUAACUCCGUGCCAGCAGCCGCGGUAAUACGGAGGGUGCAAGCGUUAUCCGGAUUUAUUGGGUUUAAAGGGUCCGUAGGCGGACUCGUAAGUCA